rnacentral:rRNA from 1 species
GACGAACGCUGGCGGCGUGCUUAACACAUGCAAGUCGAACGGAAAGGCCCUGCUUUUGUGGGGUGCUCGAGUGGCGAACGGGUGAGUAACACGUGAGUAACCUGCCCUUGACUUUGGGAUAACUUCAGGAAACUGGGGCUAAUACCGGAUAGGAGCUCCUGCUGCAUGGUGGGGGUUGGAAAGUUUCGGCGGUUGGGGAUGGACUCGCGGCUUAUCAGCUUGUUGGUGGGGUAGUGGCUUACCAAGGCUUUGACGGGUAGCCGGCCUGAGAGGGUGACCGGCCACAUUGGGACUGGGAUACGGCCCAGACUCAUACGGGAGGCAGCAGUGGGGAAUAUUGCACAAUGGGCGGAAGCCUGAUGCAGCAACGCCGCGUGCGGGAGGACGGCCUUCGGGUUGUAAACCGCUUUCGCCUGUGACGAAGCGUGAGUGACGGUAAUGGGUAAAGAAGCACCGGCUAACUACGU